rnacentral:rRNA from 1 species
GAUGAACGCUAGCUACAGGCUUAACACAUGCAAGUCGAGGGACCGGCGCACGGGUGAGUAACACGUAUCCAACCUGCCCUUUACUCGGGGAUAGCCUUUCGCAAGAAAGAUUAAUACCCGAUAUAAAGGAUGGGGAUGCGUUCCAUUAGGUUGUUGGUGAGGUAACGGCCCACCAAGACUUCGAUGGAUAGGGGGUCUGAGAGGAAGGUCCGCCACAAUGGAACUGCGAUCCGGUCCCAACCGCUACGGGAGGCAGGAGUGAGGAAUACUGGGCAAUGGGCGCUAGCCUGAACCUGCCAAGUAGCGUGAAGGAUGAAGGGGUAUGGGUCGUAAACUUCUUUUAUAUAAGAAUAUGUAUUAUAUGAAUAAGGAUCGGCUAACUCCGUGCCAGCAGCCGCGGUAAUUC